AUACCUGGUUGAUCCUGCCAGUGGUUAUAUGCUUGUUCUAAGGAUUAAGCCAUGCAUGUCUAAGUGCAAACGAUUUUGUACAGUAGAACUGCGAAUGGCUCAUUACAACAGUUAUAGUUUAUUUGAUCGUACGGUAGAAAAGAAACUACGUGGAUAACCGUAGGAAACUACAGCUAAUACAUGCUCCAUCGCUUUUUUUAUAUAUAUUUGUUUUUUUUAUCUGUAAAAGCGGGAUUUAUUAGAUCAAAAACCAGCUAUCGAGAGAAGUCUAUCCUGUACUAAUCUUGGUAUGGUUUGUGAGGUGAAUCAUAAUAACUUUUCCAAAUCGCAAGGCUUUUUUUGUGUUUAAGAAAAAUCAAGGAAGCCGGCGAUAAAUCAUUCAAAUUUCUGCCCUAUCAACUUUCGACGGUAGGGUAGUGGCCUACCGUGGUGUUGACGGGUAACGGAGAAUUAGGGUUCGAUUCCGGAGAGGGAGCCUGAGAGAUGGCUACCACAUCCAAGGAAGGCAGCAGGCGCGCAAAUUACCCAAUCCUGAUUCAGGGAGGUAGCGACAGAAAAUAACGAUCGUAGGCCUUUUUUUUAGGGUUAUUGAUUGGAAUGAGGAUAGUUUACACCCCUUCACGAGGAUCCAUUGGAGGGCAAGUCUGGUGCCAGCAGCCGCGGUAAUUCCAGCUCCAAUAGCGUAUACUAAAGUUGUUGCAGUUAAAAAGCUCGUAGUCGAAUCUUGACAUUUUUAUGAAAAAGUUUGCGUAUUUCUCAUUCUGAUUGUAUCGAAUACAAUCGGAGUGAAGGGAAUAUGCUUCUUUUUUUUUUUUAAAAAAAAUAAGAAAUUUCUUUGUUGUUUUUUCUUCUUUUGAUGAAAGAAGAAAAAACUUUUUUUUACCGUGAGCAAAAUAUGGUGUUCAUGGCAGGCAUUUUUUUGUUGCUUAUAUAUUUUAGCAUGGAAUAAUAGAAUAAGACGUUUGGUUUUAUUUUUUGUUGGAAAAAGACGCAUAUGAUAUAUGCGUCUUUUUUAGAGCCAAAGUAAUGAUUAAUAGGAAUAGUUGGGGGCAUUCGUAUUCCGUAGCUAGAGGUGAAAUUCUUGGAUUUACGGAAGACGAACGACUGCGAAAGCAUUUGCCAAGGAUGUUUUCAUUGAUCAAGAACGAAAGUUAAGGGAUCGAAGACGAUUAGAUACCGUCGUAGUCUUAACUAUAAACUAUGCCGACUAGAGAUUGGUAGAUGUAUUAAUACGACUCUAUCAGUAUCUUUAUGAGAAAUCAAAGUCUCUGGGUUCUGGGGGGAGUAUGGUCGCAAGGCUGAAACUUAAAGGAAUUGACGGAAGGGCACCACCAGGCGUGGAGCUUGCGGCUUAAUUUGACUCAACACGGGGAAACUUACCAGGUCCGGACAUAGGAAGGAUUGACAGAUUGAGAGCUCUUUCUUGAUUCUAUGAGUGGUGGUGCAUGGCCGUUCUUAGUUGGUGGAGUGAUUUGUCUGGUUAAUUCCGUUAACGAACGAGACCUUAACUUACUAAUUAAGCGUUUUUUUUCACAUAUAGUUUAAUAUGCUAUAUCGUGGGGAUUUAUGUUCUUUUUUUAGAAGGACGAUUUGCGAAUAGCAAAUGGAAGAAUAAGGCAAUAACAGGUCUGUGAUGCCCUUAGAUGUUCUGGGCCGCACGCGCGCUACAAUGAUGCAAACAACGAGUUUUGUUUCUGGAUCGAAAGGUUUGGGGAAUCUUGUAAUCUGCAUCGUGAUAGGGAUAGACGAUUGGAAUUAUUUGUCUUGAACGAGGAAUGCCUUGUAAGCGUGAGUCAUCAACUCGCGCUGAAUACGUCCCUGCCCUUUGUACACACCGCCCGUCGCUCCUACUGAUUGGAUGAUCCGGUGAAAUGUUCUUGGUACGCUUUUUUUUUUAUCUGUUUAUCGAAAAGGAAUGCAGUUUUGUGGUUGCAAAAAUGUGUAUUUUUUGGCAAGCUGAGAGAAAAAAAGGAGGAAAAGUUCAGUGAACCUUAUCAUCUAGAGGAAGGAGAAGUCGUAACAAGGUUUCCGUAGGUGAACCUGCGGAAGGAU
rnacentral:rRNA from 1 species